rnacentral:rRNA from 1 species
GGGGAAUAUUGCACAAUGGGCGAAAGCCUGAUGCAGCAACGCCGCGUGAGUGAUGAAGGUCUUCGGAUUGUAAAGCUCUGUCUUUUGGGACGAUAAUGACGGUACCAAAGGAGGAAGCCACGGCUAACUACGUGCCAGCAGCCGCGGUAAUACGUAGGUGGCGAGCGUUGUCCGGAUUUACUGGGCGUAAAGGGUGCGUAGGCGGAUGUUUAAGUGAGAUGUGAAAUACCCGGGCUUAACUUGGGUGCUGCAUUUCAAACUGGAUAUCUAGAGUGCAGGAGAGGAGAAUGGAAUUCCUAGUGUAGCGGUGAAAUGCGUAGAGAUUAGGAAGAACACCAGUGGCGAAGGCGAUUCUCUGGACUGUAACUGACGCUGAGGCACGAAAGCGUGGGUAGCAAACAGGAUUAGAUACCCUGGUAGUCCACGCCGUAAACGAUGAGUAC